UACGGGGGGAGCAAGCGUUGUUCGGAUUUACUGGGCGUAAAGGGCGCGUAGGCGGCGCGGUAAGUCACUUGUGAAAUCUCUGAGCUUAACUCAGAACGGCCAAGUGAUACUGCAGUGCUAGAGUGUGGAAGGGGCAAUCGGAAUUCUUGGUGUAGCGGUGAAAUGCGUAGAUAUCAAGAGGAACACCUGAGGUGAAGACGGGUUGCUGGGCCAACACUGACGCUGAUGCGCGAAAGCCAGGGGAGCAAACCGG
rnacentral:rRNA from 1 species